UUGAGCUGUCAGUGUCAAGAGUGUUCAACUUAAAAAAAAAUGUGAGAGCCAUCAUCAGUGGAUCCUUUCAAGUGCUUUUUUUUACUUUUCAUCACUUUUAACAAAAUAUCGCUGCAAAAGCUUGCAAAAGCAAAUAAUACGCGCAGUAAACAACGCCAUCGAAAACCUCAAGGUGAGGUCUUCCGGAAAGCCUUUACAAAAAUCAAAAAGAGUAACACCAGUUGCUGGCUAAAAGAAUAAGUUAAAUGUUUGUUGUUUGGUCCGUGGAGGAUACUUCAUCUCCCUCUGCUUCCACCGCUUCCAUCAUCAGCUGUCUACCGAAACCUCACAGCCGUGAGAACACUGGAACUGUUCUUUACAUCAACAUAUACGGAUACGGUACAGGAGGACUCCAACGCAGUCGGCGACAGGGGGGUAAUAUGCGGUGCAUCGCGCCUCCUCUGCAUGUAGUAUGAAGCAAAUGUAAAUAAACAAUCCCACAAUUUUUUCGUUAGUCAGCAGUAGUGUAGGUUAACCAAUAUCCUACAAGAUUCCAGUUCGAAAAAUGUUACACUUGCCAAGCGGGGUGGCCCAGGGUGGCCCGCCUUUCCCAAGCGGCGAGGCCCGGAUCAUACAUCUUAGGUAGGCUUGAUUUGUUCGUGGAUGACAGGCUUACUCCCCCCCUGGUCGGCGACCCAUUGCUCGUGAUUCAAAACGAUCCUGAUCAUGAUAAAAAAUACGGCGGUAAACACUAUAGUCCGGUGACGCAAUAGUCCUGUGAAAAAACAGCCGGACCGGAGCUGGAAUGGUGCACGAGGGUCACGAGAAGCUGAAGGUCUUGGAUACCGGUGUCAGUGAUCCGGAUAUAAUCAAGCGGAAUGGUGUAUACUCGAGACAUUUCAACGCAGGGAGUUCAGAGGAUCCGGAGCAUACCGGUUCGAGGAAACCGUCAACGACAAUGGCAACACAGCGUAUUGAUUGUCUGAAAAUUGCGGCGCCAGCAGAUCAAAGUUAGCAAGAUAUUUUGGAAACUCCAUCGCGAUUUCUUUGACUGCAUCCCAAUGAGCAUUGCAACCGAUGACGGUAUCCUUGGCACAGGCGAGCAAUUAAACGAUGACGUGCAGAUUGAUAGGGCGAGUCAGUGAUCUGAGUGCCGAUUCCGAAAGAAUGCGCAUUUUGGUCUUAGUUAUAUUUCGACAAACAUGGACGGAAAAACAGUUGCUCAGUACGAGGUAGAACAUGCGACCGCCAUCACGGAUAAUGUAAUCAAUGUUGAUACGGCGGCACAAUGACAAUCCAUAAACGAAUUCUAACGGAGUUGAUAACUUAAUAAAGACAAUUACAUUUUUUUAUUCAUGAA